rnacentral:rRNA from 1 species
GUUGUAGCAAUACAGCAGUGGCAGACGGGUGAGUAACACGUGGGAACCUACCUAGGGGUACGGAAUAACUCAGGGAAACUUGUGCUAAUACCGUAUACGACCUUCGGGUGAAAGAUUUAUCGCCCCUAGAUGGGCCCGCGUUGGAUUAGCUAGUUGGUGGGGUAAAAGCCUACCAAGGCGACGAUCCAUAGCUGGUCUGAGAGGAUGAUCAGCCACACUGGGACUGAGACACGGCCCAGACUCCUACGGGAGGCAGCAGUAGGGAAUCUUGGACAAUGGGCGAAAGCCUGAUCCAGCCAUGCCGCGUGAGUGAUGAAGGCCUUAGGGUUGUAAAGCUCUUUCGCCAGGGAAGAUAAUGACGGUACCUGGAUAAGAAGCCCCGGCAAACUUCGUGCCAGCAGCCGCGGUAAUACGAAGGGGGCUAGCGUUGUUCGGAAUUACUGGGCGUAAAGCGCACGUAGGCGGUUUUCCAAGUUGGAGGUGAAAUCCCUGGGCUCAACCCGGGAACUGCCUCCAAAACUGGAUGACUCGAGUCCGAGAGAGGUGAGUGGAAUUUCCAGUGUAGAGGUGAAAUUCGUAGAUAUUGGAAAGAACACCAGUGGCGAAGGCGGCUCACUGGCUCGGUACUGACGCUGAGGUGCGACAGCGUG